CAGUCGCCGCGGUAAUACGAAGGGUGCAAGCGUUAAUCGGAAUUACUGGGCGUAAAGCGUGCGUAGGCGGUGAGUUAAGUCUGCUGUGAAAUCCCCGGGCUCAACCUGGGAAUGGCAGUGGAUACUGGCUCGCUAGAGUGUGUCAGAGGAUGGUGGAAUUCCCGGUGUAGCGGUGAAAUGCGUAGAGAUCGGGAGGAACAUCUGUGGCGAAGGCGGCCAUCUGGGACAACACUGACGCUGAGGCACGAAAGCGUGGGGAGCAAACAGGAUUAGAUACCCCGGUAGUCCCUGUCUCUUAUAC
rnacentral:rRNA from 1 species